rnacentral:tRNA from 1 species
GGAUGUAGUGACGUUAGGCGGCACGAGCCAACACGAAAUCUGACACUGCACCCGCGCUGGCAGUGUGGGGGUCAGGGGUUCGAGUCCCCUCAGCUCCACCA